rnacentral:rRNA from 1 species
AUUGAACGCUGGCGGCAUGCCUUACACAUGCAAGUCGAACGGUAACAGGUCUUCGGAUGCUGACGAGUAGCGAACGGGUGAGUAAUACAUCGGAACGUGCCUAGUAGUGGGGGAUAAUUACUCGAAAGAGUGGCUAAUACCGCAUGAGAUCUACGGAUGAAAGCAGGGGAUCGCAAGACCUUGUGCUACUAGAUCGGCCGAUGGCAGAUUAGGUAGUUGGUGGGAUAAAAGCUUACCAAGCCGACGAUCUGUAGCUGGUCUGAGAGGACGAUCAGCCACACUGGGACUGAGACACGGCCCAGACUCCUACGGGAGGCAGCAGUGGGGAAUUUUGGACAAUGGGCGAAAGCCUGAUCCAGCAAUGCCGCGUGCAGGAUGAAGGCCUUCGGGUUGUAAACUGCUUUUGUACGGAACGAAAAGCCCCGGGUUAAUACCCUGGGGUCAUGACGGUACCGUAAGAAUAAGCACCGGCUAACUACGUGCCAGCCGCCGCAGUAA